rnacentral:ncRNA from 1 species
GGAGGAAGGCCCUCCAAUAAGGGCUGUGGCAGGCAGACUUAUUAAACAACCUAGUGCUGCUGUAGUAAAGAGCUAUGGUAGUGAGCAACUAUGGAAAAGGCCAUAAAUAAUGGUCAUG